GACCUCAAAUCAGGUAGGACUACCCGCUGAACUUAAGCAUAUCAAUAAGCGGAGGAAAAGAAACUAACAAGGAUUCCCCUAGUAACUGCGAGUGAAGCGGGAAAAGCUCAAAUUUAAAAUCUGGCAGUCUUUGAUUGUCCGAGUUGUAAUCUAGAGAAGUGUUAUCCGCGUUGGACCGUGUACAAGUCUCCUGGAAUGGAGCGUCAUAGAGGGUGAGAAUCCCGUCUUUGACACGGACUACCAGUGCUUUGUGAUGCGCUCUCAAAGAGUCGAGUUGUUUGGGAAUGCAGCUCAAAAUGGGUGGUAAAUUCCAUCUAAAGCUAAAUAUUGGCGAGAGACCGAUAGCGAACAAGUACCGUGAGGGAAAGAUGAAAAGAACUUUGGAAAGAGAGUUAAACAGUACGUGAAAUUGCUGAAAGGGAAACGCUUGAAGUCAGUCGCGUUGUCCGGGGAUCAACCUUGCUUUUGCUGGGUGUACUUUCCGGUUGACGGGUCAGCAUCAAUUUUGACCGUUGGAUAAAGUGUAAGGGAAUGUGGCAUCUUCGGAUGUGUUAUAGCCCUUGCUCGCAUACAACGAUUGGGAUUGAGGAACUCAGUACGCCGCAAGGCCGGGAAUUUAUUCCACGUUCGUACUUAGGAUGCUGGCAUAAUGGCUUUAAUCGACCCGUCUUGAAACACGGACCAAGGAGUCUAACAUGCCUGCGAGUGUUUGGGUGGAAAACCCGAGCGCGUAAUGAAAGUGAAAGUUGAGAUCCCUGUCGUGGGGAGCAUCGACGCCCGGACCAGACCUUUUGUGACGGAUCUGCGGUAGAGCAUGUAUGUUGGGACCCGAAAGAUGGUGAACUAUGCCUGAAUAGGGUGAAGCCAGAGGAAACUCUGGUGGAGGCUCGUAGCGAUUCUGACGUGCAAAUCGAUCGUCAAAUUUGGGUAUAGGGGCGAAAGACUAAUCGAACCAUCUAGUAGCUGGUUCCU
rnacentral:rRNA from 1 species